UACGAAGAGGGCUAGCGUUGUUCGGAAUCACUGGGCGUAAAGCGCACUUAGGCGGCGCGUUAAGUCCGUGGUGAAAUCCUGGAGCUCAACUCCAGAACUGCCUUUGAUACUGGCGUGCUCGAGUGUGGGAGAGGUUGGUGGAACUCCGAGUGUAGAGGUGAAAUUCGUAGAUAUUCGGAAGAACACCAGUGGCGAAGGGGGCUAACUGGCCCAUUAUUGAAGAUGAGGUGCGAAAGCGUGGGGAGCAAACAGG
rnacentral:rRNA from 1 species